rnacentral:rRNA from 1 species
AGUGAACGCUGGCGGUAGGCCUAACACAUGCAAGUCGAACGGCAGAACAGUAAUAGCUUGCUCUGACGGGUGGCGAGUGGCGUACGGGUGAGGAAUACAUCGUAAUCUACUUUUUCGUGGGGGAUAACGUAGGUAAACUUACUCUAAUACCGCAGACGACCUACGGGUGAAAGCAUUGGAUCUUCUGACCGUGCGCGAUUGAAUGAGCGGAUGACGGAUUAGCUAGUUGGCGGGGUAAAGGCCCACCAAGGCGCCGAUCGGUAGCUGGUCUGAGAGGCUGAUCACCGACACUGGAGGUGGGACAGGGACAAGGCUACUACGGGAGGGAGCAGUGGCGAAUAUUGGACAACGGGGGCGAAUCUGGUACAAUCGUACCGAGUGGGUGGAGAAAGCCUUGCGUUUGUAAAGCCGUUUUGUUGGGAAAGAAAAGCAGCAGGUUAAUACCAAGCUGUUCUGACGGUAACCAGAGAAUAAGCACCGGCUAACUUCGUG